rnacentral:tRNA from 1 species
GAGCGUGGACCGUAGUUUCGGGGUUACUUUGCAGAGGUAGUUUAGAGGUUAAUUUCCUCCGCGCUUU